GACGAACGCUGGCUGCGUGCUUAACACAUGCAAGUCGAACGCUGAAGCUGGGUGCUUGCACCUGGUGGAUGAGUGGCGAACGGGUGAGUAACACGUGAGUAACCUGCCCCUGAUUUCGGGAUAAGCCUGGGAAACUGGGUCUAAUACCGGAUAUGACCAACUGAGGCAUCUUGGUUGGUGGAAAGUUUUUCGAUUGGGGAUGGGCUCGCGGCCUAUCAGCUUGUUGGUGGGGUAAUGGCCUACCAAGGCGACGACGGGUAGCCGGCCUGAGAGGGCGACCGGCCACACUGGGACUGAGACACGGCCCAGACUCCUACGGGAGGCAGCAGUGGGGAAUAUUGCACAAUGGGGGAAACCCUGAUGCAGCGACGCAGCGUGCGGGAUGACGGCCUUCGGGUUGUAAACCGCUUUCAGCAGGGAAGAAGCGAAAGUGACGGUACCUGCAGAAGAAGUACCGGCUAACUACGUGCCAGCCGCCGCCGUAACAC
rnacentral:rRNA from 1 species